UAAUGCACGCACACGUUGCUCUUAAUUUACCACUUUUCAUGCAGAAAUGUAUAUGGUGAUGUUGUAGGUUCCACAUAGUGUGAAAUAGCAAUGUGCCCAUAACUUUGUAUUGGCAUUUUGCAGGAGAUAUUACAUAAGUGAAGGAUUGAGAAAAUUACAGUGUCGUUUACUAAUUUUUGUUGGGGAUAUGUCUCCUUUUCACGUUGAGGCUCUUCAUAUGACAUCCAAGUUGGAUAGACGACUAAGUGCCUUAGUCGAGGUUCAAGCGUGUGGAUCAAUGGUAACAGAGGAGCAACCUCAUGCCAUGUUAAUAUCGAUGGAGUAUUUUCUCAUGGGAUAAGGCUUGUACUGACCAUCUAAGUUGAGUGUCAGCCCAAGAAGUCCCCUGAGUCCGUCUUGCAUUUCUCCUGAGCUUUACUCUCCAGAGAGUAUAGGUUUGAAAUUGAAACCAAUAAAGACACGGAUUUCCAUGGAGAUAUAGUAGUAGUAGUAGCUGAAUAAAGAUUGCCGCUCUUUUUGUUUUGAUUGUUGAACAAGUUUAUAAAUAGUUCUUUGUUUUGUCAAAAAUCUGACAUGGGAGGGAUGUAAUAACCUUGUAGAUAGACGGAGACUUGGAAAGAAAUAAACAGAGGGAAAAAAAGGGGGAAGAGUUUAGUUGAAAGCAGCUAUAGUCAUUCUUUGAUUUGUAAUCAUAGACUUUCGUUUGGUUGGUAAAGCUUUGAAAUUUUUAUUUUUGGACAAAUAAAAAUAAUAAAGUUCUUGUUA